GAUGAACGCUAGCGACAGGCCUAACACAUGCAAGUCGAGGGGCAUCGGGACGUAGCAAUACGUUGCCGGCGACCGGCGGAUGGGUGAGUAACGCGUAUGCAACCUACCCGUAGCAGGGGGAUAGCCCGUUGAAAGACGGAUUAAUACCCCCGUAACACAGGGGCUCCGCAUGGAGAUUAUUGUUAAAGGGUCAUUUCUUUUUCAGGGAUGGUCCGGCUGCGGAUGGGCAUGCGUUCCAUUAGGUAGUUGGUGUAGGUAACUGCUCACCAAGCCGACGAUGGAUAGGGGAACUGAGAGGUUGGUCCCCCACACUGGUACUGAGACACGGACCAGACUCCUACGGGAGGCAGCAGUGAGGAAUUUUGGUCAAUGGACGCAAGUCUGAACCAGCCAUGUCGCGUGAAGGAGGACGGCCCUAAGGGUUGUAAACUUCUUUUGCAGUGGAAUAAAGUUUGCCACGUGUUGGCGAUUUGCUAAGUACGCUGCGAAUAAGGAUCGGAUAACUCCGUGCCAGC
rnacentral:rRNA from 1 species